AUUACGAUUACAUUUAGAAAGUUUUCAAAUAUUAUUUUACAGCCAAGGACAACUCAGGUAUGCCCCGAAUAGUAAUUCGUUUUCAGUUUAAUAACCGACUUUUGUUUUGAAGUUUCGGUUUUUUACCUAAGACCCCAAAACUACAAUUCACAGCCUCACUAGUAAGGUACGUUUUAGAAUAGUACUUCAUUUUUCCUAGAAUAACCAAUUUUCUUUUAAUUUUUUUUUUCGACAGCAGACCCCAAAACAACAGCUCACAACCCGCAUGUGUCAGGUAUGUUCACGAAAAAUUUCUAUACAAACCCCAAUAUGCUCACUAGUCAGGUAUGUUCACCAAUAUUACUUUAUUUUUUAGUUUAUUAACCGUCCUUUGUUUUAGAAUUAAAUUUUUUCAACACGAGACCACAAAAUUGUCGUUCAUAAUUACACUAGUCAAGGUAUGAUCAGUACUUCGUUUUGUAGUUUUACACUGACUUUCGUUAUGAAAUUUCUGUUUUUAUACAAGAGAACCCAAAACUGCAGUUUCUAACCGCACUAGUCAGGUAUGUUCUCAAUCAACCCAAAACUUCUUGUUUCUAUAUUCUUUGACUUGGUAUGUUGGUAUGCUGUUCGUUUUGGAGCCGAGGGUCUCUCUGAAAGCAGCCUCUCUAUCCCUAGGAAUUGAGGCAAGGUUUGUCUACAUCCCACCCUCCCCAGACCCUAUAAGUAGCUCUGCUAUUUUUGGGAUUUACUGGGUAUGGUUGUUGUUUUUGUUGAUAAAAAAACAUAAUAAGAGAGACUAUAUAUAGAUUACAUAAAUGCACUUAGCUACUCUCUAGAAUAAACAUUUGUCUAACUUUUUUAUUUGUCUAACAUUCCCCCGAAAGUUGAGGGCGGGGAACGACCUGCAACUUGGACCUCAAGAACUCGAAUCUUUGUGAAGACAGAGAUUUCGUGAAAGACAUCAGCGACCUGAUCAUCGGUCUUGAGAAACUGAACAUUUAGAUUUUCUUUAGCAACCUGUUCUUGGAGGGCCCGAAAUAAAAAAAAUGAUAUAUAUAUAUAUAUAUAUAUAUAUAUAUAUAUAUAUAUAUAUAUAUAUAUAUAUUAAUUUUUAUUAUAUAUUUUAAGCGUUAUAAUUCAUUUUAAGCUUCUGAUCAUGAUGGACGCUUGUCGCAGAGCAUUUGCUAAAACCAUUAAUACUGUUAUCUGCAUAAACAUUAAACAGCAGAAGCAACUAGAUGCAAACCUAAGUAGAGCGCUAAGCUUGCUGUUCUAAUUUUGUCACUUGUAUCCAGAAUUCAACUAUAUCUACUAAGUUGGAAAAUUAGGAAAGCGAAUGACUAGCUACAAUAUACUUAAAAAAAAUUAAAGAACUAUUAAUCUUUACAACCUGACUUAGCAUAACUGACACAUAUUUCCAGCUUAUUACUGCUAAAAGUUAUGUGUAAUAGACUGCUAAACUUGUUGUGAAUCUGAUAGCCGAAGCAGGAGCAGAUCGAGUUCUUGCUUGUGAUCUUCCUUCUGGGAAAUCGAUGGGCUAUUUUGACAUUUCAGUUGAUCAUGUUCAUGGUCAGGUAAUGGGUAUUAUCUAUUUGAAGCAACGAAACCACAUCUUGUUAUAUUUGUAAUGGAUAGCAGUAUUGAUCAAGCCGCAUUUGACAAAGCUAAAGCAUUUAAGCGGAGUGUUGUUGUUGGAGCUUUUAUUGGUACAAAAAUGGAUGGUCAUGAAAAGGGUGGUGGAAAUUGCCAGACCCUGUAGUUACAAAUCUAUGCUAGUAUAUAAUGUCCAUUAAGACACGAAUCCAUUUUGACCAGUUUUCCAACCCGAAGUUAAAUAUUUUUCUUUUCUCAUUUUUACUGUGUAGCAAUUGGAGGACAGUUGGCCGAAGUCCAAGCUUGAAAGCAGAGUUUUUUCUACACGAGACCCCCCUGCAACUCGCAGCCC